ACUAAGAUGAAAAGCUGCCAGCAUUGGGUGGUUAGAUGCAGAAUGCUGCGAGGGCUGGUUGGUAAAAGAAAUGUAAGCUUAUAAUGCAGCCAGGAGACGUGAAAUCAUGUGUAAAGAUCCCAGCUGUCCUCCGCAACGCCAUCAUUCGUAUCCUGCUCAGCCCGGAUGUGACCAUCAGCUCCCACCGCUGCCACUACCGGUUCGAGUGCAGGAGCAAGGGGAACGAGCUGCUGAUGGUCGUGGGGCCUUCCAAUAUCUGUGCCUGAAAUGCCAACUGCUUGCCUCAGCUAGAGCACCCACUGUGGAAGCUGAAUGGUGGCAGCUGGCACAUACCAACAGUGAAUGGUGACCUGCUAUGGCUCGCUCACUUCAACACUGGGUCUGGAUGCUGCUCAUUUCUGAAAAGAAGAAAGAGUCCCAUACCAACUCCCUAUGUUCAGCAACCUGUGGCAGUGAGCGCGGUGGCCAGCUGGUGUGAAGAGGAGAUGUCUCCCGUCAGUAAUUGCAGGAAGAAGCUCUAGCAGGUGGGAUGAGGAAUCACACUGAAGAUCACAGAGCAGAGGGAAGCAGUGGCAAAUAGCAGAAGAGAAGGGGAGAGACAAAUGGCUGUGUCCUGCUCGCCAGCACGAAUGGGAGGAGGAUGUGCUCACCAUAGUAAUAGCGUGGCAGCAGUAGUCAUUGUCUGAAGAGCGAGCUCCCCGCGAUCUGGCAACGCGGAGGUGAUGGACCAAAGCUGAGAAUCCAGGUCAAAUCCAGGGGAACAAGCUGAGUUUGUCUGACAGCGUCUCACUUUUCGAUGCGCUGUGCAAAGAGGCAGUGACUUGGAAAUCUGAAUUUCGGAGGCUGAACUUCAUCAGUCAGACUACUUCUACCUCAUUAUGUUUAAAGAGGACUGCAUCCCAGCGUCAGAAAGGAGCGCUGCUGGUCUCCCAGCUGGGUUUGAAGCAGAUCAAUACGAAUGCUGAGCCAUCUAAGAAGCUCUUCCUGAAGCAAUAAAUAUGGGAAGUGUGCUUUCAGUCUCCCUUUUCUGAGGAUGAAGGGCACACGAUCGAAGCUGCGGGAGGCGCAGCGUUUAAUAUUUAUCAGAACCAAAUGGCAGCGCAUCCGGAGGCGCUGCUGAAGAACAGCGAACCAGAGUGGUGACCCUGCCGAAGAGCCCGCUCCCAAAAGCUAACGCCGCCAGGCCGAGAGCGGGAUCCGGGCAGGAGCGGCGCUGCGGAGCUCUGGCCGGGCCGGGCCACGCCGUGCACCAGCCGCG